rnacentral:rRNA from 1 species
AACGAACGCUGGCGGCAUGCCUAACACAUGCAAGUCGAACGAGGCCCUUCGGGGUUUAGUGGCGCACGGGUGCGUAACGCGUGGGAAUCUGCCCUUUGGUUCGGAAUAAACAGCUGGAAAACGGCUGCUAAUACCGGAUGAUGACGAAAGUCCAAAGAUUUAUCGCCAGAGGAUGAGCCCGCGUUGGAUUGGUAGUUGGGGGNNGGGUAAAGGCCUACCAAGCCGACGAUCCAUAGCUGGUCUGAGAGGAUGAUCAGCCACACUGGGACUGAGACACGGCCCAGACUCCUACGGGAGGCAGCAGUGGGGAAUAUUGGACAAUGGGCGCAAGCCUGAUCCAGCAAUGCCGCGUGAGUGAUGAAGGCCCUAGGGUUGUAAAGCUCUUUUACCCGGGAAGAUAAUGACUGUACCGGGAGAAUAAGCCCCGGCUAACUCCGUG